UACGUAGGGUGCAAGCGUUGUCCGGAAUCAUUGGGCGUAAAGAGCGUGUAGGCGGUUCAGUAAGUCUGCUGUGAAAGUCCAGGGCUCAACCCUGGGAUGCCGGUGGAUACUGCUGGACUAGAGUGCGGAAGAGGCGAGUGGAAUUCCCGGUGUAGCGGUGAAAUGCGUAGAUAUCAGGAGGAAUACCGAUGGCGAAGGCAGGUCUCUGGGCUGACACUGACGCUCAUGCACGAAAGCGUGGGGAGCAAACAGG
rnacentral:rRNA from 1 species